CCCUUAGAUGUUCUGGGCCGCACGCGCGCUACACUGAUGCAUUCAACGAGUCUAAAACCUGGUCUGAUAGGGCUGGGUAAUCUUUUGAAUGUGCAUCGUGAUUGGGAUAGAUGAUUGCAAUUCUUCAUCUUCAACGAGGAAUGCCUAGUAAACGCAAGUCAUCAGCUUGCAUUGAUUACGUCCCUGCCCUUUGUACACACCGCCCGUCGCUCCUACCGAUUGAAUGUUCCGAUGAAUAUCAUGGACUGAGAGUAUGAAUGGGUUCGCCUAUUUCUGCUUCUCGGGAAGUGGAGUAAAUCUUAACAUUUAGAGGAAGGAGAAGUCGUAACA
rnacentral:rRNA from 1 species